rnacentral:rRNA from 1 species
UACGAAGGGGGCUAGCGUUGCUCGGAAUUACUGGGCGUAAAGGGAGCGUAGGCGGAUAGUUUAGUCAGAGGUGAAAGUCCAGGGCUCAACCCUGGAAUUGCCUUUGAUACUGGCUAUCUUGAGUGUGGGAGAGGUUAGCGGAACUCCGAGUGUAGAGGUGAAAUUCGUAGAUAUUCGGAAGAACACCAGUGGCGAAGGCGGCUAACUGGCCCAUUACUGACGCUGAGGCUCGAAAGCGUGGGGAGCAAACAGG